rnacentral:rRNA from 1 species
CCCUUAGAUGUUCUGGGCUGCACGCGCGCUACACUGACGCACCCAACGGGUUUACGACCUUGCCUGGAAAGGUUGGGUAAUCCCACAAAAAUGCGUCGUGGUGGGGACAGAUUACUGCAAUAACUAAUCUUCAACGAGGAAUUCCUAGUAAGCGCGAGUCAUCAGCUCGUGCUGAUUACCUCCCUGCCCUUUGUACACACCGCCCGUCGCUCCUACCGAUUAAGUGAUCCGGUGAAUAGUUCGGACUGCUGCAAUGCUUGGAUCCCGAGAAUUGCGGCGAAAGUUUAGUGAACCUUAUCACUUAGAGGAAGGAGAAGUCGUAACA